ensembl:lncRNA LRRC77P leucine rich repeat containing 77, pseudogene
GUUGUUGUUUAUGUAAGAAUUUCAAGGCCACAACUCCAUAUUUGAAGUAAAGUGCUCAUAAAAUUAAUUGCAAGACUUCUGAAGAGAGAUUUGCUAGGAAAAAUAAAAAGAUAUAUAAAUUUCAGUGAUGCUGAAGGUUUUGAGAAGCCAUCUGCAGCUCACAACUAGAUGAGUGACACAAUCAGAUGUGCGUAUGCAAAAAAAAGCCUGGAGACAUUGAACUAAGAUCAAAUUUAAUGUAUUAAAUAUGGUAGAAAGAAGAGAGAAUGAAAAAUAAUGUUAACAAUCUAGGUGAGGAAUUGCUGAGGAGACAAAUUAAGUAAAUCCUGUGGAAGGAAAGAAGAAAGGAGGAAAGAGGAUUGGAUGGAAGAAUCUCCACUUCUCAUAGGUGUAGUCCUUCCUUAGCCUGCUUUUUAAUGAGUGCUGCUAAAGCCCUUAGCCUGCCUGUUUACCCUUGGAGUGGAGCAAUGAACUGAAGAUAUUUGAGUGAGUUCAAGAGAGACUCAGAAGAGAAGAAUUGGAGGCAGCAAACAUAGACAGCACUUUUAAUGCUUUUCUCAUAUGCUGUAAGACAUGAAAGCAAUCUAUUGGGAUGAAAGCUGAAAGGAGAAGCGGGACAAGAGAAGUGAAUCCGUGGAAGACCCCCAAAAGAGGCUGCAGAUUCUUAGUGGACAGCUCUCAUAUCCCCUCCAGGGAAAAUGAUGAAAAAUGUCUUCAGAAAAAUAGCUUUAUGAAGGCAAGAGGACUUUUUGCACCUGCAAGACAUGUCUGAAAGCUUCCAUCAGAUUCUUGUAAGUACCUCACUUGGCACAAGGUAGACAUGACGUUCAAGGAAGUCAACUGCGUUGCCCAAGAGUAAGAGAAGGUAAAAGAAUAAAUGUGUGCCUUUUUCGUGUACAUCCUCUGAAUAGAAUUUUUUGUGGAUUAAAAGACAUUACUUGAAGAAAAAAAAAAGACACCAUUUGGAGGAAUCUCUGAAGAAGAGCAACUUUUCAGACAGGUAGAGUGUGCCUUGCUCCCAAGGAAAAGAGUUCUUGAAAAAAACAAAUGGGAAACAUGGCUACAAGAAAACUGGGAAGACUGCAAGAAUUUGAACAUUUCAUUUCAGGGUUUGGGGGAUCCUUACCAAGUUGAAAAUUUUAACAGAAUUCUUAGAAGACUAAUUCGAGUUGAAACCCUCUGGUUAGUGGAUAAUUCACUGGUGGACUUAAGUGCCAUAAGAUUGCCAAGAGUAUUCUCCUGUUUGCCAAACUUAAAAAUGCUGGAUGGAAUCUUGAAGCUACCAGAAGAUUGCUUAUCACCAGAAACCAAUAUUUUUUCAAAAAUAUGCCUUGUAUCCUAAUGCAGUCUGUAUAGAAAGAAAGCAAUCAUCAUUGUUGCUAAAAGCUAAUAAACACAGGACAUGCAUGAU